rnacentral:rRNA from 1 species
UGCCGCCCUGAAGGGCGUAUGGUGGAUGCCUUGGCAGACAGUACCGAUGAAGGACGUUUGAGGAUGCGAUAAGCCUCGGGGAGCCUCCAACAUGGCUUCGAUCCGAGGAUUUCCGAAUGGGGCAACCCGCCGGCCGUCAUGGGCCGGCACGGAACCUUGUUGUUCCGGGGGUACGCAGGGAAGUGAAACAUCUCAGUACCUGCAGGAAGGGAUACUCCGUGAGUAGUGGCGAGCGAAAGCGGAUCAGACCAAACCAUGGGCGCGUGAUACCCGUCGGGGGUUGCGUUCGUGGUGUUGCGGGAGCGUGUGUCCCGGUUCCGACGGACCGGGCGGGAGUCAUAAAACGGCUUGCCAGGGGAACAGGCUUGAAGGCCUGGCCGCAGAGGGUGCCAGCCCCGUACCUGGAAGCUUGCCGUCUUCCGAUCAUGUGUCCCAAGUAGCGCGGGCCUCGUGGAAUCCCGUGUGAAUCGGCCCCGACCGUGGGGUAAGUCUAAGCAUACCUGUCUGACCGAUAGCGUACCAGUACCGUGAGGGAAAGGUGAAAAGCACCCCGGGAGGGGAGUGAAAGAGUUCCUGAAACCGUGCGCCUACAAUCCGUCGGAGCCUCCUUGUGGGGUGACGGCGUGCCUAUCGAAAAAUGAGUCUGCGAGUCAGUGGUGCGUGGCGAGGCUAACCCGUGGUGGGGGAGCCGUAGCGAAGGCGAGUCUCAAAAGGCGUUUUGAGUCGCGCGCCCUGGACCCGAAGCGGGAUGAUCUAGCCCUGGGCAGGUUGAAGCGCGGGUAAGACCGCGUGGAGGACCGAACCCACCUGGGUUGAAAACCGGGGGGAUGACCUGGGGCUAGGGGUGAAAGGCCAAUCAAAUUCCGUGAUAGCUGGUUCUCUCCGAAAUGCAUUUAGGUGCAGCGUCGGUUGAUUGCAUCGCGGGGGUAGAGCUACUGGAUGCUUGCGGGCCCGUGUGGGGUACCAAUAGCAGCCAAACUCCGAAUACCGUGGAUGUGUAUUCCGGCAGUGAGUCGGCGGGGGAUAAGCUCCGUCGUCGAGAGGGAGACAGCCCAGAUCGUCGUCUAAGGUCCCGAAGCGUGUGCUAAGUGGGAAAGGAUGUGGAGUCGCAUAGACAGCCAGGAGGUUGGCUCAGAAGCAGCCAUCCUUGAAAGAGUGCGUAACAGCUCACUGGUCUAGUGGUUCCGCGCCGACAAUGUAGCGGGGCUCAAGCACACCACCGAAGACGCGGCAGCGGCCUUUGCGGCCGUUGGGUAGGAGAGCGUCCCGCGUGGGGCGAAGCGGCCGGGGAACCGUGCCGUGGACCGCGCGGGAGUGAGAAUGCAGACAUGAGUAGCGAGAGACGGGUGAGGAUCCCGUCCGCUGGAUGACCAAGGGUUCCGGGGCCACGUUCGUCGUCCCCGGGUGAGUCGGGUCCUAAGGCGAGGCCGACAGGCGUAGUCGAAUGGAUGAACGGGUGGAUAUUCCCGUACCGGCGGCGUACCGUAAGAGCCGAACGGAUGAGUACUAACCUCCGGUCGCGUGGCGUCGUUCCCUUCGGGGUUCGGGGCGCGUGGCUGUUGGGAGCGUAGUCCCGGUAGGCUAGCGCACAGGGGUGACACGGAAUGGGAGCCGGCCGCGGAGGUGGUUUUCCGUGGUCAAGCACGCAGCCCGUCCCAUAGGCAAAUCCGUGGGGCACAUAGGGUGAGGUGUGAUGAUGGGCGUCCUUUGGACGCGAUAUCCGGUGGUCCAGGCCGUCGAGAAAAGCCUCGGCGCGAGGGGCGUCGCCGCCCGUACCCCAAACCGACACUGGUGGUCAGGUAGAGAAUACCAAGGCGAUCGAGCGAAUCCUGGUCAAGGAACUCGGCAAAUCACUCCCGUGCCUUCGGUAUAAGGGAGACCCCCGGGCGUGAAGAGGCUUGCCCUCGGAGCGUUGGGGGGUGGCACAGACCAGGGGGUAGCGACUGUUUACCAAAAACACAGGUGCAUGCGAAGGCGCAAGCCGCUGUAUAUGCACUGACGCCUGCCCGGUGCCGGAAGGUUAAGAGGAUCCGUCAGCCCUUUUUGGGGUGAAGCGGUGAAUUCAAGCCCCGGUAAACGGCGGUGGUAACUAUAACCAUCCUAAGGUAGCGAAAUUCCUUGUCGGGUAAGUUCCGACCUGCACGAAUGGCGUAA